rnacentral:rRNA from 1 species
GAUGAACGCUGGCGGCGUGCUUAACACAUGCAAGUCGAACGGUGAAGCCAAGCUUGCUUGGUGGAUCAGUGGCGAACGGGUGAGUAACACGUGAGCAAUCUGCCCUUGACUCUGGGAUAAGCGCUGGAAACGGCGUCUAAUACUGGAUAUGAGCUGUGGCCGCAUGGUCGGCAGUUGGAAAGAAUUUCGGUCAAGGAUGAGCUCGCGGCCUAUCAGCUUGUUGGUGAGGUAAUGGCUCACCAAGGCGUCGACGGGUAGCCGGCCUGAGAGGGUGACCGGCCACACUGGGACUGAGACACGGCCCAGACUCCUACGGGAGGCAGCAGUGGGGAAUAUUGCACAAUGGGCGCAAGCCUGAUGCAGCAACGCCGCGUGAGGGACGACGGCCUUCGGGUUGUAAACCUCUUUUAGCAGGGAAGAAGCGAAAGUGACGGUACCUGCAGAAAAAGCACCGGCUAACUACGUGCCAGCCGCCGCCGUAA